GCCAUACAUCUAUAGGUUAGUCAAGCUUCCUAUAUAUCCACCAACGUGAACAUCAUGUGGUCUUACCCCACACUCACAGGAGCACGCUGAAAUACCCUAGACCCAACUAAGUUGCAGGUCUCUGAGCUGCAUUGGCAGACGCCCCCCCCACCUUCCCAGAAGAGAACAUCUCGGCUGCAUUUGCACAAACAUGAUCAUCAGACUGGGCAGACUAACCCCUGGAUACUUCCGUCUCCUCCAGAGACAGGUAGCAGGAGAGGUACAGAUGCAGCCUCAGGACCGGACGGUCAAUCAGAUUGCCAUGAUGCUGGCCAUCCUGGGCCUCAGCCUGUCCUACUACAGUGCUCGCCAGAUGACUGAGAAGGUCCAGCGUGAGCCGACCCCCUGAACAUGCGCCGCCGGGAUCCGGCUGGAGUGGCCGGAGUGAUGAAAGCCAAUGAAUGAGAGGGGAGUAGAGGAAAGGAAGAGGUGGGGAUGAAGAGGCGACGGCGUCCAGCACUUUCUAAAAUCACUCUCUCACACUGCUGACAGUCACGUUAAGACACUGGAUUUCGUUUAGUUUUUUGUUUGUUUUUUACAUCGGGAGAACGCACCGUGUGACAAGAGUUCAGAGUUCAGGACGGCUCUUCGCAGGCUUCUCGGUUUUAAUUUUUAGGACUUUUUGUUUUGUCCCAAGUCUGUCCUCAGGAGGAAGAGUGCGAUGAAGUAAUGGCCUUGGGGUCCUCUGGUCUUGUGAACUGGUUAGGAGAACGAGAGCGACCCAUCCAAAACGCCCAUGUGCUUGUGCGGCCUGAGUUUCACUGCUUGCUGCGAUGCCUGCAUGCGAGAAUCCUGCAGUGCUGCUCCUGGGUC